AUGGAACCAGCUGUUUUUCUGACUUCUAUUGAAUUUUUAGGAAUCUCAAAAUCAAGCAAAUUUGAUCCACCAACUGGACCCUCUUUGGAAGACAAUACUCUGAUAUGUGAGGCUAAAGGUGAAUCCUUUGAAUCAAAAUACUUCGGCUAUUCCUUCUUGAGUCGUCUGUUUUCUGCAGGAAUCUCAAAAUCAAGCAAAUUUGAUCCACCACCUGGCCACUCUUUGGAAGACAAUACUCUGGUCCCUGAGCCUAAAGGUGAAUCCUCUGAAUCAGAAUACUUCUCCUGCUAUUCCUCCUUGAGUCAUCUGUCUUCUGCAGAAGUCUUAAACACAGAUGAAGACAUUCUACUUUCUGGACCCUCUGGGUUGGCCCAAGGCCACAGCCAGAGGGCAGAAGUUUCAGACUCAGAAUAUAUUUCCCGUAUCUCUCCUGCAGACAAGCUCUUUGACAGAGAAUUCUGGAAGAACCAAGAGAAUGUGCCUCAGCCUGAGUCAUAUGUGGUCUCUCCUGGCAGUGAGAUUGCAGGAGAAAAGGCUUCUUCCUCAGAAUACGUCUGCAUCUCCCCUUCUGGUAAGUUUAUCCUCGCUAAAGAGGACGGUAAGGGAAAUACACAGGUCGCGUCUGAGCAGAGAUAGCAGGUACAACUGAGCUGCUCAGCCCAAGCCUGACUUAUCUUAUUCUCCCCUUGAGAGCAGAAGAGGGCUUCAGGGCAGAGGGACUAGGACUGAAGCCCCUGCAGAGGAACAGAAAGGGAGUGUAGCUUCAGGGGGAGGACCCAGUCACCGUUGUAGCUUCAGGUCAAGUAGAGCCCCGCAGUGGUGUGGACAUUUCAUCACACCCUUCCCCCUCAGAGGUGCAUGAACUCAACCUCACCCACACUCCUGCAUCUGUAUUCCUUCCUACCAGUUCUGGUCCCAUUUCUCCUUCCUUUUCUCCUUGCCUUCCUUCCUCAUUCACUUUCCCAGUCUCUGGCAUGGCAUAGCUACACCCUUGUCCCUUCAUUCCCUCACACAGUCAGACUCAUCCACUCACACACUAAUACCAUAAGUCCUUUACAACCCCUUGUACAGAUCACCUGUUUUAACUCCCUCACACUAAGCCAAACUGCAGAAAAUGGAUAUACCCUGAGGAGGAUGGACUUUCAUGUACAGCCUUUCUCAUCCACAUGCCACUUCACUCAUGAAGACUCGGGCACUUCACAGAGCGGCAUAUUUCAGGAGCUCAGGUCACUUCUGCUGGCAUUCUAAGCUACAGUGUCAACAGGAAACAGCAUUAUUCCCGCACUUGUUCACAUGCUCUGUCACACUAUGUAACACACAUGCACACACUCAUUCGCUGUCACCUCUGACUAACAUCAGAAACAGUCACCAGGGUACCUGCAUGGCUCAGUCAUUUGAGCAUCCGACUCUUGGUUUCAGCUCGGGUCAUGAUCUCAAAGUAGUGAGAUCCAGCCCCAUGUCACACUCCACGCUCAGCAAGGAGUCUGCUUGUCCCUUUCCCUCUGCUUCUUCACUUUCUGUCUCUCUCUGUAUCUCUCUCACAAAUAAAUAAAUAAAAUCUUAAAGGAAGCGUUCA
rnacentral:lncRNA from 12 species